CAUCUAGUCGUCGACCUUAACUAUACUGCAGUCGCCGCUGCUGGUCGAGGUCGCCCAGUUGACACCGGCCCCGCCGGAGUGCAGCUCAUCCUGCCCGAGGACAUGAUACGAUGAGGAGUUCGCUGCUGAUGUUCCUCAGAAAAAUACAGGAAUUUGUGACAGCAAUGACGACUUCGUUCCAUUGAUAGGACAAUGUUGAUGCCAUCAAAGCGAAAUACAUCAUCGAGGCUGCUAACCACCCAACAGACCCCGAGGCCGACGAGGCAAG